GCGUGCUUAACACAUGCAAGUCGAACGGAGAAUUUAUUUCGGUAAAUUCUUAGUGGCGAACGGGUGAGUAACGCGUAGGCAACCUGCCCUUUGGAUGGGGACAACAUUCCGAAAGGAGUGCUAAUACCGAAUGUGAUCCAAUUCUCGCAUGAGAGCUGGAUGAAAGAUGGCCUCUAUUUAUAAGCUAUCGCCAAAGGAUGGGCCUGCGUCUGAUUAGCUAGUUGGUGGGGUAACGGCUCACCAAGGCCUUGAUCAGUAGCCGGUCUGAGAGGAUGAACGGCCACAUUGGGACUGAGACACGGCCCAAACUCCUACGGGAGGCAGCAGUGGGGAAUCUUCCGCAAUGGACGAAAGUCUGACGGAGCAACGCCGCGUGAGUGAUGAAGGUUUUCGGACUGUAAAACUCUGUUGUCAGGGACGAAGGUGCGAUCUGCAAAUAGUUGAUCGUAUUGACGGUACCUGACGAGGAAGCCACGGCUAACUACGUGCCAGCAGCCGCGGUAAUACGUAGGUGGCAAGCGUUGUCCGGAAUUAUUGGGCGUAAGAGCAUGUAGGUGGGCUUUAAGUCCGAUGUGAAAUGCGGGCUCACCCGUAUGCAU
rnacentral:rRNA from 1 species